GAGGCGAUUCAUGAUCCGGGUGGGACAGAGCGGGAUGGUACGAGAUCUCAUCAGGCUACUCAGAACAUCACACAAUUUAAAACUUGUGAAUUGUUUGUUUCUGUAAUUUUCCAUUUAAUAUUUUUGGAUUGCAGUUGACCAUGGGGGUAACUGAAAUCACAGUGAAACCUUGGCAGCAGCAGGGGAGGGACCACUGCAACGUCAGAAAUCUUUCUUGCUUGCAGUUAUCCAGGACUUGACUUCCUCUGCUCUUGGACCCUAUGAAGAAGCUGGAUCAUGACUCUGGAAGGGGGUGGUUGGAACUCAGGGUGAAAAUGAAGAGGCUGGCAAGCUGCCACUUGAGAGAAGAUGCACAGAGUCUUGAAGAUUUGAACCAGACUAUACCAGGAGCUGUCCCAUUUUAUUGUUCUGCUGACAUGAUUGAAGGCAGGAGGAGAAGGGGAUGACAGAGGAUGAGAUGGUUGGAUGGCAUCACUCACUCGAUGGACAUGAGUUUGAGCAAGCUCUGGGAGUUGGUGAUGGACAGGGAAGCCUGGUGUGCUGCAGUCCAUGGGGUCACAGAGUCAGACACGACUGAGCGACUGAACCGAACUGAACUGUGCACUCGAAUGCUGAGUGCUUCUUGCAUACGUAUAAUUUACUCGGUGCAAGAAAGAAUUGAAAUAAGAUGGGUGGCACAAACCAGCUUUAAAGAAUAUUGAAGGAAUGGAGACACUCUAGGAUUUUCACAUACAUCAGAUAACAAGAACAUAAAAUAAGAGGUAAGCAGUGUUUUUUUUUUUUUUAAGGACGAGGUGGACUAUUGGAAAGGACCUCUCCAUAGACUAAGGGAAAAGUUUCAUAAAUGAUGGGAAACUGCUAUGAAAGUUGAAGAAUAAGGAGAAUUUGGAUGAGUCAGAAAUUAAGUGGAAGAAAUGACAGGGAAUGAGACCAACAAGAGUCAAGGCAGAGUUAGGAAUAGAAUGGGCAGCAGAUUAGUAAGAGCAGAGAAGGUGGUUUGUGUGGAAAGAAGGAGGAGUUAUUCACAUGAAAAAGAAGGUUGGAACUGAUUU
rnacentral:lncRNA from 1 species